rnacentral:rRNA from 1 species
UACGAAGGGGGCUAGCGUUGCUCGGAAUUACUGGGCGUAAAGCGCACGUAGGCGGAUUGUUAAGUCGGGGGUGAAAUCCUGGAGCUCAACUCCAGAACUGCCUUCGAUACUGGCGAUCUCGAGUUCGGGAGAGGUGAGUGGAACUGCGAGUGUAGAGGUGAAAUUCGUAGAUAUUCGCAAGAACACCAGUGGCGAAGGCGGCUCACUGGCCCGGUACUGACGCUGAGAUGCGAAAGCGUGGGGAGCAAACAGG